CCUACGGGAGACAGCAGUAGGGAAUUUUGCGCAAUGGGCGAAAGCCUGACGCAGCAACGCCGCGUGAUCGAGACGCCCUUCGGGGUGUAAAGAUCUGUCAGUGGGGACGAAACUUGACGGUACCCACAGAGGAAGCACCUGCUAACUCCGUGCCAGCAGCCGCGGUAAUACGGGGGGUGCAAGCGUUGUCCGGAAUCAUAGGGCGUAAAGAGUUCGUAGGCGGCACGUAAAGUCUGGUGUUAAAGGCAGAGGCUCAACUUCUGUACGGCACUGGAUACUUGCGAGCUAGAGUGCGGUAGAGGUAAAGGGAAUUCCUGGUGUAGCGGUGAAAUGCUUAGAUAUCAGGAGGAACAUCGGUGGCGUAGGCGCUUUACUGGGCCGUAAUUGACGCUGAGGAACGAAAGCCAGGGUAGCAAAUGGGAUUAGAUACCCGAGUAGUC
rnacentral:rRNA from 1 species